GACGAACGCUGGCGGCGUGCUUAACACAUGCAAGUCGAACGAUGAAGCCUAGCUUGCUAGGUGGAUUAGUGGCGAACGGGUGAGUAAUACGUGAGUAACCUACCUUUAACUCUGGGAUAAGCCUGGGAAACUGGGUCUAAUACCGGAUACGACCAAUCUCCGCAUGGGGUGUUGGUGGAAAGCGUUAUGUAGUGGUUAUAGAUGGGCUCGCGGCCUAUCAGCUUGUUGGUGAGGUAACGGCUCACCAAGGCGACGACGGGUAGCCGGCCUGAGAGGGUGACCGGCCACACUGGGACUGAGACACGGCCCAGACUCCUACGGGAGGCAGAAGUGGGGAAUAUUGCACAAUGGGCGGAAGCCUGAUGCAGCGACGCCGCGUGAGGGAUGACGGCCUUCGGGUUGUAAACCUCUGUUAGCAGGGAAGAAGAGAAAUUGACGGUACCUGCAGAGAAAGCGCCGGCUAACUACGUG
rnacentral:rRNA from 1 species